rnacentral:sRNA from 1 species
ACUCUUUAUCUUUGUAUCUUCUAACAAGGAAACACUACUGAGGCCUUUUUAGGAUACAGUUGAGGUUUAAGUUCUUAUACUCAAUCAUACACAUGACAUACAGUCAUAUUCGACUCCAAAACAAUAACCAAGCCUCUUCUUGCUUCUCAAAGCUUUGAUGGUUUAGCCGAAGUCCAUAUGAGUCUUUGUGUUUGUAUCUUCUAACAAGGAAACACAACUUAGGCUUUUAGGAUAUGGUUGCGGUUUAAGUUCUUAUACUCAAUCAUACACAUGACAUCAAGUCAUAUUCGACUCCAAAACACUAAUCAAGCUUUUUCUUGCUUCUCAAACCU